rnacentral:rRNA from 1 species
CCUACGGGAGGCAGCAGUGAGGAAUAUUGGUCAAUGGACGAGAGUCUGAACCAGCCAAGUAGCGUGAAGGAUGACUGCCCUAUGGGUUGUAAACUUCUUUUAUAUGGGAAUAAAAUGUUCCACGUGUGGGAUUUUGUAUGUACCAUAUGAAUAAGGAUCGGCUAACUCCGUGCCAGCAGCCGCGGUAAUACGGAGGAUCCGAGCGUUAUCCGGAUUUAUUGGGUUUAAAGGGAGCGUAGGCGGGCGUUCAAGUCAGCUGUAAAAUCGCGCGGCUCAACCGCGCCCCGCAGUUGAAACUGGACGCCUUGAGUUCACAACAGGCAGGCGGAAUUCGUGGUGUAGCGGUGAAAUGCAUAGAUAUCACGAGGAACCCCGAUUGCGAAGGCAGCCUGCCGGGGUGCGACUGACGCUGAGGCUCGAAGGUGCGGGUAUCAAACAGGAUUAGAUACCCCAGUAGUC